GUGUGCUAGGGAGGACGCUGGACCCCCAAGGGGGUGGAUUCUGAGAUCACACAUCGAUUGGAGAGGGGGAACGAAACAUUCCUUAUAAGGGUGUGGAAAUCUCCACCUAGCAGACGUGUUU